rnacentral:rRNA from 1 species
GUGUCAGCCGCCGCGGUAACACGUAGGGGGCAAGCGUUGUCCGGAUUUAUUGGGCGUAAAGAGCUCGUAGGUGGCUCGGUUAGUCGGGUGUGAAAUUCCGAGGCUCAACCUCGGAACGCCACUCGAUACUGCCAUGGCUAGAGUCCGGUAGAGGAGCGUGGAAUUCCUGGUGUAGCGGUGAAAUGCGCAGAUAUCAGGAGGAACACCAGCGGCGAAGGCGGCGCUCUGGGCCGGUACUGACACUGAGGAGCGAAAGCGUGGGGAGCAAACAGGAUUAGAUACCCUCGUAGUCC